UCUCUCUCUCUCUCUCAUUCCCAACUCUCGGGUUUUCUCUCUAGCCUACCAUGCCAAAACUCCAGAACCUAGGUAUUCAACCUUGGAAAUUUCGAUUUGAUCCGUAUAUCUUCAGAAGCAAGGAUGCCAAGGUGUGGUAAGGCUAGUAAACCAAGGUUGCCAAGUUCGAUGAAGAGGAAACUUAUAGGCAGAGGUAUUGGUUGCGUGAAAAUUAUGCAUUUGAUCCUACGACUCGUCAGAUCAGCAUUGGC